UACGGGGGGGGCAAGCGUUGUUCGGAAUUACUGGGCGUAAAGGGUUCGUAGGUGGCUUGCUAAGUCAGACGUGAAAUCCCUCGGCUUAACCGGGGAACUGCGUCUGAGACUGGCGAGCUUGAGGGUAGGAGAGGAACGCAGAAUUCCAGGUGUAGCGGUGAAAUGCGUAGAGAUCGGAAGGAACGCCCGUGGCGAAAGCGAGGUCCUGGACGUCUACUGACGCUGAGACGCGAAAGCUAGGGUAGCGAACGGG
rnacentral:rRNA from 1 species